UUGAACUUUGACCUGACUUGUGCAGGAUAGGUGGGAGGCUUUGAAGCAGACACGCUAGUGUUUGUGGAGCCAAUCUUGAAAUACCACCCUGGUCAUGUCGGGGUUCUAACUCAGGUAUAACAAUACCGAGGACAAUGUAUGGUGGGUAGUUUGACUGGGGCGGUCUCCUCCUAAAGAGUAACGGAGGAGCACGAAGGUUGGCUAAGUACGGUCGGACAUCGUACGGUUAGUGUAAUGGUAGAAGCCAGCUUAACUGCGAGACAGACACGUCGAGCAGGUACGAAAGUAGGUCAUAGUGAUCCGGUGGUUCUGAAUGGAAGGGCCAUCGCUCAACGGAUAAAAGGUACUCCGGGGAUAACAGGCUGAUACCGCCCAAGAGUUCACAUCGACGGCGGUGUUUGGCACCUCGAUGUCGGCUCAUCACAUCCUGGG
rnacentral:rRNA from 1 species